AGGAGCAACAGCCCUAGUGGCGGGCCCAGCUCUGGAAACCUGAAUUCAGCCCCCGCAGGAACUCCGGAGCUCUCUGUCUGCAGGGCCUGGAGGCUCCGGGGCGGG
rfam:Canis lupus familiaris chromosome 22, whole genome shotgun sequence.